rnacentral:rRNA from 1 species
UGCGGAAUAUUGAGCAAUGGGCGAAAGCCUGACUCAGCAACGCCGCGUGGAGGAAGAAGGCCUUCGGGUUGUAAACUCCUUUUCUGAGGGAAGAGCGAGGACGGUACCUUAGGAAUAAGUCUCGGCUAACUACGUGCCAGCAGCCGCGGUAAAACGUAGGAGGCGAGCGUUAUCCGGAUUUACUGGGCGUAAAGCGCGCGCAGGCGGCCAGAUAAGUUAGACGUGAAAGCCUCUGGCUCAACUAGGGGAGGACGUCUAAGACUGUGUGGCUAGAGGUCGGGAGAGGGACGUGGAAUUCCCGGUGUAGUGGUGGAAUGCGUAGAUAUCGGGAGGAACACCAGUGGCGGAAGCGGCGUCCUGGCCCGCACCUGACGCUGAGGUGCGAAAGCGUGGGGAGCGAACGGGAUUAGAUACCCCGGUAGUCCACGCUGUAAACGAUGGCAACUGGGUGUUGGUGGUGUAAAGCCCAUCAGUGCCGAAGCCAACGCGUUAAGUUGCCCGCCUGGGGAGUACGGUCGCAAGGCUA